CCGUUCAGGAAGGCUUGUCCAGGCUUCCCAGUCCUUGCCCAGUGUUUCUGAAAGUGAAGGUCUUUCCCAUCUGAUUCGGGUGGGAAACAGCUAAGACGCAGGUUCCCAAGCCCCUCAGACCCGCUGAACCAGUUUCUCCCUGAGCCCUGGAAUCUGCAUUUUAGCACGUGGGGGUGGGUUAGGAAGGUCUCUGAAGGCGGAGAAACAGCUCCCAGGAGGUGGGGUGGUCCCAAGGAGGGCAGACAGGAGAAAGCAAAGUGAGAAAAAUUAGAUCCUGGUGGAAGCCACGGGCAGGACUCUUGCGUGGACAGGGUGAUGCCGCAGAUGGGGGCGGAGAAGGACGCAGGAGACAGACGGGGCGGGGCCGCGGCGAGGGUCGCGCCCGAGGGUUGUGUCCCAGGCCAGAAAGAAGCAGGAGUGGAAUAAAUGAGGUGUCGCUUCCUGGACGGCCCCUUGCCCUCAAAGAUGGUGCCUCCCUUGAUAUCUCCAGAGACGCCAGACAAGAAAGUUCAAGAGGCGCGCCUUAGCAUUUUUCCCAAAGCCUCCUGCCUUGAUCAUAGGUAGGAAGAAGGGCCAACCUCCCUGCCGGAUGUACCGCAAACCCUGAGAAGUGGCGGGGGAGGAGCUGAGCGCAGGACCUCCACCCGCUCCAGGGCACGGCAGAGAACAGGGAGCUGAGACAGGCAGCUGGGGGUGGACAGGCUGGCACCUUAAGUGCCCU